UUAGUUUUACAGGUAUUUGUACUGUAUUUUCCAUUUUACGCAUUGCAUCAUGGGAACAAGAACCUUCGCGAAGCGCGAAAACUGGUCAGACGACAUUUCAUGCUCGCUAACCGGACCCUGGAACAAAUAUCUUUUGGACUUCGGUUGGAUUAAGAGAUGGAGUUACCUUUCUGCCACCUCCCUGCUGCAUCCAGACUCUUCUGAACUUUUCCUGGAGAGCAACUAGGCAUCUUUAAAAUAGAUUUUCUGGGCUCAAACCCUGAACAAGGUCGACUCACACGAUGCAGACGAAAGUGAAGAAGCAGCUUUGCAUUCCAACAAGAUGGUUCAAUUCCUUUAAUGAACUGAAUGACUGGGAAACCAUGGAAAAUUUGAGCCUUUUGAAGUUUAAACGUGAUUGAUCAUCUCAUCAAACCUGGUGCACCAAGAACUGGUCACAGAACAUUUCAAGCUCUUGGUAACUGGACCUAAGAGUUGGAUUAACCUUUUUUUGCAGAACAUAAACAUAAAAUGGACUUUU